rnacentral:rRNA from 1 species
AUUGAACGCUGGCGGCAGGCCUAACACAUGCAAGUCGAACGAGUGGCGGACGGGUGAGUAAUGUAUGGGAAACUGCCUGAUGGAGGGGGAUAACUACUGGAAACGGUAGCUAAUACCGCAUACCAUCAGAGGUGCCGAGAUGGGAGUAGCUAGUUGGUGGGGUAACGGCUCACCAAGGCGACGAUCCCUAGCUGGUCUGAGAGGAUGACCAGCCACACUGGAACUGAGACACGGCCCAGACUCCUACGGGAGGCAGCAGUGGGGAAUAUUGCACAAUGGGCGCAAGCCUGAUGCAGCCAUGCCGCGUGUAUGAAGAAGGCCUUCGGGUUGUAAAGUACUUUUAGCGGGGAAGCGUUAUCUGCAGAAGAAGCACCGGCUAACUCCGUGCCAGCAGCCGCGGUAAUAC